rnacentral:rRNA from 1 species
AUUGAACGCUGGCGGCAGGCCUAACACAUGCAAGUCGAGCGGAUGAAGGGAGCUUGCUCCUGGAUUCAGCGGCGGACGGGUGAGUAAUGCCUAGGAAUCUGCCUGGUAGUGGGGGAUAACGUCCGGAAACGGGCGCUUAUACCGCAUACGUCCUGAGGGAGAAAGUGGGGGAUCUUCGGACCUCACGCUAUCAGAUGAGCCUAGGUCGGAUUAGCUAGUUGGUGGGGUAAAGGCCUACCAAGGCGACGAUCCGUAACUGGUCUGAGAGGAUGAUCAGUCACACUGGAACUGAGACACGGUCCAGACUCCUACGGGAGGCAGCAGUGGGGAAUAUUGGACAAUGGGCGAAAGCCUGAUCCAGCCAUGCCGCGUGUUUGAAGAAGGUCUUCGGAUUGUAAAGCACUUUAAGUUGGGAGGAAGGGCAGUAAGUUAAUACCUUGCUGUUUUGACGGUACCAACAGAAUAAGCACCGGCUAACUUCGUG